UACGUAGGGCGCAAGCGUUGUCCGGAAUUACUGGGCGUAAAGCGCACGUAGGCGGCUUUGUAAGUUAGGGGUGAAAGCCCGGAGCUCAACUCCGGAAUUGCCUUUAAGACUGCAUCGCUUGAAUCCGGGAGAGGUGAGCGGAAUUCCGAGUGUAGAGGUGAAAUUCGUAGAUAUUCGGAAGAACACCAGUGGCGAAGGCGGCUCACUGGACCGGUAUUGACGCUGAGGUGCGAAAGCGUGGGGAGCAAACAGG
rnacentral:rRNA from 1 species